CUACGGGGCGCUCCAGUAAGGAAUAUUGCGCAAUGGAGGCAACUCUGACGCAGCCAUGCCGCGUGCAGGAAGAAGGCCUUAUGGGUCGUAAACUGCUUUUAUUUAGGAAUAAACCCCCGAACGUGUUCGGGGCUGAAGGUACUAAACGAAUAAGCACCGGCUAACUCCGUGCCAGCAGCCGCGGUAAUACGGAGGGUGCAAGCGUUAUCCGGAUUUAUUGGGUUUAAAGGGUGCGCAGGCGGGCUAUUAAGUCAGUGGUGAAAUCCCGGGGCUCAACUCCGGAACUGCCAUUGAUACUGAUAGUCUUGAGUUUGGUUGAAGUGGGCGGAAUGUAGCAUGUAGCGGUGAAAUGCAUAGAUAUGCUACAGAACACCAAUCGCGAAGGCAGCUCACUAAGCCAAAACUGACGCUCAUGCACGAAAGCGUGGGGAUCAAACAGGAUUAGAUACCCUAGUAGUC
rnacentral:rRNA from 1 species